UAACUGUAUUAUUGCACAUUGCGAUUAUGUUAUUAAGUAAUCGCUAGAGGGUAUUUAGUGCUACUGAAUUAGUGGAACUGUUAGUGGAACUGUUAGUGGAACUGUGUACUAAUCUUGUAGAUUGAUUUUUCUAAUUAUAGUAUAGCUUCAAGCAGUGAACCAGAAUUUUCGAGAUUAAAUUAAGUAAAACAAAUAUCAUUAUUACUAGCUGAACCAGAAUUUCCCUUGGGAUGAAAUGCUUUCCUGACGAAGGUUCUUGUAUGCUGGCAUGAUAACAACCGAUUAUAUGGGCUGAAAGUGGAAUAUGUGAAGCUAAAGGAAUGUUUUAUCUCUAUAAUCACUAAUGAUAUCCGCUGUGCGAGAGCCGUGGAUAGUGAGGGGUCUGAGACAGUGAGACAUGCACUCCGUAUUAACCGGUGGGUCAUUUUCAAGUUAGUUUAUGUUCAAUUCUUGUCUCCAAAUCUUUAUUCAGUUAUUAAAUUAAUGUUCCAAUUGUAUCUAGUCUAUAUAUGUUCAAUAAUUCAUGAUUCCAAUUGACUAUUGUUUCUUAUCGUCAGGAAACUAACGUUCGAAGAAAAAAAGAAUAUCCAGACUCAACACUGACAACACUCUUGGAGUAUUCAAAGACAGGACAACACUUGUUAUGCUCCAGCUCUACAAAUCCCUGAUAAGGUCCAGAGUGGAGUACUGCUGCCCGCUUUGGAAUCAAAACAAGAUCUAUGAUGUCCAGUCUUUCGAGAGCAUACAACGCUAGUUCACCAGACGGAUUCUAGGGCUCUAGAGACACCGAUUAAAUGGAAUAGACUGAAGGAACUGAAACUUACAUCACUGCAAAGACGCCGAGAACGCUACACCAUCAUACAUCUGUGGAAAGUUCUCCAGGGAAUAUGUCCAAAUGUUCUAGAUGUACAGUUCAGAGAGAAUGCCAGACUGGGAGUUAAAGUUAUACUCCCUUCUCUCACCAAACAAGCAUCAGCUGCUACACGCUCCACCUACGACCAUUCUGUUCUCCCCAAAAUUGUCAAUACUCAAAGGACUUUGACAAGCUUCAAGACAUCUCUUGGAAACUUCCUAGACACCCUUCCAGAAUCCAGACAAGCCCCUACUCCUGGAUACAGUGCAGAAAACUCGAUUUCUACAGACAUAGCGGAGUUCUACAGUUACUAGCUACGAGUCCACAUGGAUCGAGAUCUCAUCAAUCCUACCUUCGCUCACUACAAAUGGACUCCACCAAGAUGCUGCUUCCCCGGAGUUCAACAUAGCUGAAGGAUUGCUCCACGGCCUCUACUGCACUCAAUGUUAUCCUUUUCAAACCUUACUAUCUGGAAAUUUCUGGACUGUCUGAAGGCGGAGCAGGACAUAACAUAUGUGAAACUCACGAAGAGACUGUGCAGAGAACGUCCUAGCCGAGGAGCAGCAAAGUGGAUCUUAAGUAUGACGAGAGACUGCAGACUGUUAACUUGAUUUUCUUAAAGUUAUUGGAUGUAUGAUUUGAAUUUAUGAUAUAAUGAAUUUGUGAUUUAAAUUUAUUAACAUGACUUUCAAAUUGAUAAUCUCUCUUGGUGAAGAAUAUAA